AUCUGAUCUAACAGACACAUUCUGGCAAUACCACACCCCCUGCUCCUCAACACCCACCAGCAGGAUGCACAUCUCUUCCAGAGCUGCGGAGCAGCUGGAAAUGGAAGGAAUGAUAACCUCCAGGACAAUCCUGAGUCAUAAAAUAUUGAUAAUAAUUGACUCAAAGAAAGAAAGAAGAGUUUUCUAGGAAAGCUACGAGACAACUGAGGAAACAUGUCUAGGAGAGUGAAACCUCAGUCAUGGCAAAGCACUUCUGGAAUCCAAAUGAAGAUGGAGAUGUCAUGGAAACUUGGAUCUGGAUGAUCCAACAUUCCUCCAGCUUUGCAGUGGAAGGCCAUGGAGAUACUGCAUGACAGAGAAGGAGGUGCACCCAUGUUCCCCCUCACAAGGACAUGAGGGAAUUGGGACCAACUGCUGCUGCCACCACUGCCACCUGCUGAGAUCUCCAGCUCAAAGUGACCUGGACCUACUCCAUCUUCUGGGGCAGAGAGGUAAAUGGAGAUACACGUGGAAGGAUCUGGGGGCUAAGAGUGGGAAAAAAGUAUGAGGCAUCAUUCAGAGCUGAGAGAUGAGGUGUGGGUGAGAGAAAGGGGCAAUACGAGAUGGGGAGCACCAUGGUAUGUGGGGUACAUCACUCAGGAUCACAGUGAUAGAGAAAGGUGCAUUCAAGCCAUUGAAAAUUCUUUGUUGUGAUUCCCCCUGUAAGCCGAUGCAAUACCACAUGGGGAACUAUGCAGAAGAUACAUUAUGACUGCACAGUGGAGUGAGGAAAUGCUAGUCUGGAGGCUUGCCAUACAACAUUAAUUCUCCUCCUUGUGCCUGUGCAUUAUAGUAUAGCCCUUAAAGACACGAUCACGUAGUUCUGUUUGGAUUUUUCCACAGGACCCCUAACUCCUUUACUGCCAAGCUGGGGGUUUGUAGGAAAUGAGGGAGGGGAUUGGAGGUGGAGAAGAGAUUAUCUGGUCAUUAGCGCAGCUGAACGCUGCCUAGCCCUCUCCUGCUGCUGUCACUUAAAUAAGCACUUUCACAGUUGGCCAAUACCUCCCAAUCUGUUUGCCAGGCUACAGACACCUGGGGUCAGACUGGCAAAAGUACCGAGUGAUCUGCAUUGCAAGCAAAGUGCCUUCAGAGUAACAUUAUGGGAGUCUCUGGUUCCAGAGGUUCAAGAAUCCUGGCCAUUCCCAGCAGAAACCCUGGAAAGAAGUUCCCUGUACCACAAUCCCUCUUGUUUCAGCCAAGGAUGUAUUUUGCCCUCAUGGAUAUUUUGUAUCAGGCUAUCACAUGUUUGCCACUGAUUUCCUCUCCAAUUUGGGUGACUUCAGCAUCAAAGCUCACUAACAAGGGCCUUCUAGAGGCUGCUCAGCUCAUUUGCUUCUAUCAUCUCAACUUCAUGUCUUGCCCAAAGAUGUUCUCAAGUGUUCUAAUUUAUUCACUGAACUUUUCCCAACAUUAGGCUUUCUUGUCCACCCACCAUUCUCCACUCCCCCUCCCAGUCCUCUCCACAAUUUUCGUUUCCUUGUCCUCUUCUCACAGUACGUGCUCAGCUCUUACAUUCACCAAAAGCAAUUGUUUUUUCUUAUAUAUCUGCAAUUUUGUCUUUCACAACAGUAAUCCUCUGCACUCUGUAGAUUUUAAUAACAUGCCAUUGUCUGAACAUAUAUAAUAUGCACUUUAAAAAAUGAAGAAGAAAAACAAACAUAUGACUGUAAAGUGAACGGCCAGUUAGUGAUUCCAACUCCCCUAAUCUCUCUGUCCUCAUUUCACUUCAGUAAAAUGGAAGUUGGUGCUUGCUCCUUCUUCUUUUCGCAAGAGCUGCAGUAAGGGG
rnacentral:lncRNA from 1 species